rnacentral:rRNA from 1 species
CCUACGGGUGGCAGCAGUGGGGAAUAUUGCACAAUGGGGGGAACCCUGAUGCAGCGACGCCGCGUGGGUGAAGGAGUAUUUCGGUAUGUAAAGCCCUAUCAGCAGGGAAGAACAAUGACGGUACCUGACUAAGAAGCACCGGCUAAAUACGUGCCAGCAGCCGCGGUAAUACGUAUGGUGCAAGCGUUAUCCGGAUUUACUGGGUGUAAAGGGAGCGCAGGCGGCGCGUUAAGCCUGGUGUGAAAGCCCGCGGCCCAACCGCGGGACUGCUCUUGGAACUGCGUGGCUGGAGUGCAGGAGGGGCAGGCGGAAUUCCUGGUGUAGCGGUGAAAUGCGUAGAUAUCAGGAGGAACACCGGUGGCGAAGGCGGCCUGCUGGACUGCAACUGACGUUGAGGCCCGAAAGCGUGGGGAGCAAACAGGAUUAGAUACCCGAGUAGUC